rnacentral:rRNA from 1 species
GAUGAACGCUGGCGGCGUGCCUAAUACAUGCAAGUCGAGCGAACAGACGAGGAGCUUGCUCCUCUGACGUUAGCGGCGGACGGGUGAGUAACACGUGGAUAACCUACCUAUAAGACUGGGAUAACUUCGGGAAACCGGAGCUAAUACCGGAUAAUAUAUUGAACCGCAUGGUUCAAUAGUGAAAGACGGUUUUGCUGCCACUUAUAGAUGGAUCCGCGCCGCAUUAGCUAGUUGGUAAGGUAACGGCUUACCAAGGCAACGAUGCGUAGCCGACCUGAGAGGGUGAUCGGCCACACUGGAACUGAGACACGGUCCAGACUCCUACGGGAGGCAGCAGUAGGGUACCUUCCGCAAUGGGCGAAAGCCUGACGGAGCAACGCCGCGUGAGUGAUGAAGGUCUUCGGAUCGUAAAACUCUGUUAUUAGGGAAGAACAAAUGUGUAAGUAACUAUGCACGUCUUGACGGUACCUAAUCAGAAAGCCACGGCUAACUACGUG